AACGAACGCUGGCGGCAUGCCUAACACAUGCAAGUCGAGCGCCCCGCAAGGGAAGCGGCGCACGUGUGGGUAACGCGUGGGGACGUACCUAUUGGUUCAUAACAUACCUCUGAGACUGGAGUUAAUACCGGAUAAGCCCUAUCCGGGCAAGAUUUAUAUCCUAAAGAUCGGCGCGCGUGUGAUUAGCUCGUUGGUGUGGUAACGGCCCAUCAAGGCGACGAUCUGUAGCUGGUGUGAGAGGAUGAUCAGCCACACUGGGACUGAGACACGGCCCAGAAUCCUACGGGAGGCAGCAGUGGGGAAUAUUGGACAAUGGGCGAAAGCAUGAUCCAGCCAUGACGCGUGAGUGAUGAAGGCCUUAGGGUUGUAAAGCUCUUUUAUCCGGGAAGAUAAUGACGGUACCGGAAGAAUAAGCCCCGGCUAACUUCGUG
rnacentral:rRNA from 1 species